rnacentral:misc_RNA from 1 species
GAUAAAUCUAUUGAAAGCAUAACAGCCAAUAACGCAUCUAGUAGUAAACUCAUGAAUUGUUUCCAACUUCAAUCAGUGACAGAAACAUCAAUUUGUCUUUCUUUGAUACAAACCAGUGUUUGAAAGUGCAUAUGACCAUUUUAUUGGUUACCAAAGAAUCCAAUAAUUUAUUGACUGAAUGAUACAAUCACCAAAAGAGCUCACCAAAGUAAACUUAUCAGUCUUCCUCUAAGGUUGUUUUCAUCACAAAUUUUAUCAUCUAUACUCUUGGAAGUUGACAUGGCCUGUGGCUUGUGCAUGCUCAACAGCCUCCUUCUGGCCAACUACUCCAAUUUGGCAUACCCCACAGCGCAAAGUGAAGUUGGCAGUGUCCGUGUAACUUCUUUUCCUUUGUUGCUCCCUGACAAGAUUAAGGGCAAGCCCCUCGGCUGGUCCAAUUGUUCUAUCCUUUUGUACAACAAAUAUGGUCUGAUCAAAUUCCUCUGGAGCUUCCUCAAAUGGAGAUAACUAUCAAAAUUAAAUACCAUGAAGGCAUCCACAAGUUGAAUGACAAAACAGCAAACAAUCGAUAGGGACACUACAGAAAUGAUUGAAUAACAUAUAACAGGUGAAUAAAUACCAGUUGUUACUAACAAAUUAUGCAUAUUACAAGCUCACUACUACAUUAUGAAGAAGAUAGCACAUAAUGAUUUGUAGAACUUAUCCAACAUAACAAAUUAAUCAACAGUAUUCAACCAGAAAAUCCUUCUGCGAAGGACAGACAUGAAAUUUCUAUAGAUGAUACAUAUUUCAUUAUUUCUUUCUUGAUUAAGCCUCUGAUUUAACGAAAAGAAAUCAAAAUAUAAGACAACAAUGAAAUUGAGAAUGAAACACCAUACAGCCAAAGCAUCAUAAUGAAGUCCAUCAUAAAUCAGCAUCACCCUUUGGGAGUACUUCCCGUCCUGACCAUACAAAUCACAUCGAGUUGUCUGGAUAUCAUAUGCAGCAAUUUCACAUCCAUAGUAAUCUGCUAAUAUUGAAAGCUCAAUGGCUCCUCCCCACUUCUCUGAGUCAAGAAUCCAAGCACAAUACUCUUCGUUUGGCUUUCCAAGAAAUGCUUCAUUAUACUUCACUGGAUCACUGGCCACAGUUGCAGCUAUAACCUGUCUCAACUCAGGCGCUUUGUUUCUGUCAUUAUCCAUAACGUACCCAACAGCGUUGAAAAGGCAACUGUUAUCUGAGGGAAUGACCCUUCUAACAAUGAUUCCUUCCAUGCACAGGCUUUUUUUUUUCCGGAAA